AGAGAGGCAGAGAGACGGGGCACAGAGAUUCAGCGAAAGGGGGACAGGACCUGGGGCGGCAAGGGUGAGGGGAAGAUCAGAGAGAGAUGGGAGACUCAGAGAGAGAAGAACAGAUGCUCAAGAUAAGGGGAGCCGAGACCGAGUCUGUGCCAGUGCAGUGCUGCUCUCAGGCUCUGGGGUCAGAAUCUGGGUUGCAGCUCUACCAGCCUGAGAGAAAUCGCGGAGUCUCCCCGAGUCUCAGUUUCUUCAGCUGCAAAGUGAGGAAAGAUAGGUUCCCCUUCCUGGGAGAGCGCAGCAGUCCCAAGGUCCGCCGGACUCCUUGCAAACAGCAGGCGCCCAAUUCCUGCGCGCUGAGCCGUCUGAGCCGCGCUGAUACUAGGUGGGACUCAGGGAAUGCCAAGAGGGGGCGGGGCGUCACCCACAGCGCCCUCCCCCCUUCCACCCAGACCCAACUCGGGCCCGCCCCCGGAGCUUCUGCUAGCCUGUCUGUCCCGGCCCGCACCCACCUGCUCCGGUCGGGUCCGCGAGGUCCGUGCGUUCAGGAGGAUUUCGCUGGACAGCCAGGCCUUCCCUUCCUCCGACGGGCCCCGGAACGCGCCUGCGCACUCGCUGUCUCGGAACUGAAAUUUCCAGGAAUUUGAGGAAAUGUCUGGACCUGUAGCAUGAAGACGUUAAAACAAACCCGUAACACUGCUCACCACUGGCCAAGCAAAAAGUAUUUUGGGACCACUAGUUUGCGACCCUCAAACUUGAGUUUUUCCCAGGUGCUGCAGUCCGGCUACCAGUUCACAGGUGCGCGUGAAGUCAAGAACCUCUGACGCAUCUGCGGUAGCCACGUCCCCGGCCAGCGCACAGGCGACGGUGACGUAGCGCGCACCAGGAAGAGAGUCGUCAUGGCAACCAGCGUUCCGUCGCCCGGCCACGUCCGCAGGAGACUGGAGCCGGCUCCCUGCGGAGGCGCGGAGUCGAGAAAAAGAGGAGGGUGCAGUUCUCGGAUAUAGCGAGGCCCAGACAUUAGGGCCUAGUUCCCGCGGACUUUCAACGCGGAGUAAUAGCCAAUGCCGCGUAGGACAGUGCGCCUGCGCAGGCUGAGUCCGUAAACUACCAUUCCCAGAGUCCUUCCGGUUGCAGCCAGAUCAAUUUCAGAGGUUGACGCCAGUGCUCUACCUCUUCAAACCUGCUCAUUCAAGGCGCACGUACUGCGCAUGUGCUAAAAUGGUAUCUUGGCAACGGAUGGCUGGAACAGAGAAGUCAAGGUUUCGACCAAUCAGAAGUCGCGCUCGGCCGGGCGCGGUAGCUCGCGCCUGUAAUCCCAGCAUUUUGAGAGGCCGAGGAGGGCGGAUAACUUGAGGUCUGGAGUUCGAGACCAGCCCGGCCAACAUGGUGAAACCCCCGUACUACUACUACUACUAUCUACUAAAAAUACAAAAAUUAGCUGGGCAUGGUGGCACAUGCCUGUAAUUCCAGCUAUUCCGGAGGCUGAGGCAGGAGAAUAGCUUGAAACCGGGAGGCAGAGGUUGCAGUGAGCCGAGAUCAUGCCACUGCACUCCAACCUGGGCGACAGAGCAGGACUCCAUCUCCAAAAAAAAAAAAAAAAA
rnacentral:lncRNA from 1 species